rnacentral:rRNA from 1 species
GACGGAGGGUGCGUAGCGUUGUUCGGAAUUACUGGGCGUAAAGGGCUCGUAGGCGGCCAACUAAGUCGGAUGUGAAAUCCCCAGGCUUAACCUGGGAACUGCAUCCGAUACUGGAUGGCUUGAAUCCGGGAGAGGGGUGCAGAAUUCCAGGUGUAGCGGUGAAAUGCGCAGAUAUCAGGAGGAACACCGGUGGCGAAGGCGGAUCUCUGGGCCUUACCUGACGCUCAGGCACGAAAGCUAGGGGAGCGAACAGG